rnacentral:piRNA from 1 species
UCCACAGAGAAAGAAAAAACU